UCACAACAACAUCGAGACUAGUAUUUGAUCAAAAAACCAGGCACCUUAGCCUAGACAAAUUGAUACAUAAAAUUAACCAUCACAAAGAUGCUAUAUGAUUUUUUGCACAUGACUCAAGAGUUCUAAAACCUGGGAGUUCUCAUUGUGGCUCAGCGGGUUAGGAACCUGACUAGUAUACAUGAGGAUGGGGGUUUGCUCCCUGGCCUCUCUCAUUGUUGUUGCUGCAGUCUACAGUGUUGGUCACAAAAUGCAGCUAGGAUCUGGUGUUGCUGUGGCUGUGGUGUAGGCUGGCAACUACUGCUCUGAUUCAACUCUUAGCCUGGGAACUCCAUAUGCUGCAGAUAUGACCCUAAAAGAUUAAAAAAAAAAAAAAAAGAGUUCUAAAAACUGAAUGACAUUAAUAUAGCAAAACUUGUAUUCCUAAAGUGAGAGCUGAAUUGAUAUUUAACUCUGACUUUUUCUAACAAUAACUAAUAUUCAACCAUGCCUACAUGAGGUAAUUUGUAAAAAAUUUCCAUCUAUCUCCCUAAAAAUUCAUUUUCUUAAUAAUUACAUGUCAAAAUGUAUAAUAUAUAUUUGUACUGUUUAAUUCAAUUGUGUACUCCUAACAGUAAUAAAAAAACUCAUUUCAAAGAAUCUUCAAUAGUUAGACUCUUAUGGACACAAAUAUUUAACAAAUGAUCUCCAAAUGAGUAUACAUAAUUUUACUACAGAGUAAUCUGAUGAUUAAGAAAAGGUUUUUAAGCAUAAAAUUAUAUUAAGUUAGAGUAAAAUUCUUUUCCCUAUUAACAGCUAAUUUUUAUUUUUAUUUUUGUUUUUUAAAUUUAUUUUUUAUUGAUAUUUCCCCCAACAAAUUUUUUUUUCCACUAUACAGCAUGGGGACCCAUUACACAUACAUGAUAAAUAAUUCUUUUUUUUCACAUUAUCAUGCUCCAUCAUAAGUGACUAGAUAUAGUUCCCAGUGUUCUACAGCAGGAUCUCAUUGCUUAUCCAUUCCAAAGGCAAUAGUCUGCAUCUAUUAACCCCAAGUUCCCAAUCCAUCCCACUCCCUCCGCCUCCCCUUUGGCAACCACGAGUCUAUUCUCUUAGCAGAUAGUAAAGAAAAAAAUAUUAGAAGACAAGUCUCAUAUGUCUUGAGAACACAAAAGACAUUUCCAUCUAAAAAUAAAUUUGUACUAAACAAAGGAAACUUUUCAAGUUCUCAGCUCUACACAAUAUAUUGCUUAAAUGGGACUGAACCUUAGAUGUCAUCUGAUUCCAUUCCAUUGUUACAACUGAGGAAAUUAGUCCCCAAAAAGGUAAUAAGAGUAUCUCCACCUCCUCCAAUGUCUGAUUACAUCAUGAUGUAGAGAUGUCUUGAGAAGGGAAUUAGGCACAUCAUCUUGUUCUGAGAAAAAUAUGAGGCAAAUAUACAGCCUC
rnacentral:lncRNA from 1 species